CCUACGGGAGGCAGCAGUGGGGAAUAUUGCGCAAUGGACGAAAGCCUGACGCAGCGACGCCGCGUGAGGGAUGAAGGUCUUCGGAUCGUAAACCUCUGUCAGCAGGGAAGAACGGUCACUGUGCUAAUCAGCAGUGAAUUGACGGUACCUGCAAAGGAAGCACCGGCUAACUCCGUGCCAGCAGCCGCGGUAAUACGGAGGGUGCGAGCGUUAAUCGGAAUUACUGGGCGUAAAGCGCUCGUAGGCGGUAUGUCAAGGCAAGGGUGAAAUCCCCGCGCUCAACGUGGGAACUGCCUUUGAAACUGGCAAACUGGAGUGUGUGAGAGGAUAGUGGAAUUCCAGGUGUAGGAGUGAAAUCCGUAGAUAUCACGAGGAACCCCGAUUGCGAAGGCAGCCUGCCGGGGUGCGACUGACGCUGAGGCUCGAAGGUGCGGGUAUCAAACAGGAUUAGAUACCCGGGUAGUC
rnacentral:rRNA from 1 species